rnacentral:misc_RNA from 1 species
ACAAACUUGGUCAUUUAGAGGAAGUAAAAGUCGUAACAAGGUUUCCGUAGGUGAACCUGCGGAAGGAUCAUUACCGAGUGUUGAUUGCUUAGCAAUCGCCUCCCACCCUUGAUUACUGUCUUGUUGCUUCGGCGAGACGCUUUCCUGUAAGGCCGUCGACUUGUUCAAAUUGACUACGUGGAAGUCACGUGUACAUCCACGUGACCUAGCUGGUCAAAAUGGAUUGUGGGCGUGAGCUCGCCGAAGGUUUUUCCACACUGAAUUUUUGACGUCUGAGGAACAGAAAAUUGUUUAAAACUUUCAACAACGGAUCUCUAGGUUUCGGCAUCGAUGAAGAACGCAGC